GGGGUGCCUUAACGUCCCCCUAGAGACUCGGGGGCCCUCUCUGUUGGCUGAGGAGCUGAGGCAGAGCACCUUGGAGCUGCUGGAUUUCCCUCAGCAAGUCUGAUUAUAUCCUGACUCACCCUCCACCCCACCCCAGCCCUGGACAGUGGGUGGAGCAGUACACACGUUCCCAAGGGGUGCUGGGGGAUCAGCAGCCUGGGAUGAUUCUCACACCAUCAGCUUACAUUUCCCCAACCUCGGAAUGCCUCUCCUCCUUGUGGCCCAGAGUGGCUGCUGUAGCACCGGCCAUUGUGUCUAUAUCCCCACGGCAGGAAGGAGAAGGGAGGAGUACAGCCUACAGCCCUGGGCUGGAAGGAUUUCCCUGCAGGUCUGUGCCCCCACACGUGGCCCAGAGUGGCUGCUGUUGCACCACCCAUCAUGUAUACAUCCCCACGGCAGGAAGGAGAAGGGAGGAGUACAGCCUAUAGCCCUGGGCUGGAAGGAUUUCCCUGCAGGUCCGUGCCCCCACACGUGGCCCAGAGUGGCUGCUGUUGCACCACCCAUCAUGUAUACAUCCCCACGGCAGGAAGGAGAAGGGAGGAGUACAGCCUAUAGCCCUGGGCUGGAAGGAUUUCCCUGCAGGCUGCACAGGCGCACUGGCCCGAGAGCUGGCCCGCGAGUACCCUCGUCUCCAGGUGACCGUGUUUGACCUCCCGGACAUCGUCGAGCUGGCCGUCCACUUCCAGCCCGCCGGACCGCAGGCAGCGCAGAUCCACUUCGCAGCAGGUGACUUUUUCAGGGACCCCCUCCCCAGCGCUGAGCUGUAUGUCCUGUGCCGGAUCCUGCACAACUGGUCAGACGACAAAGUGCACAAGUUACUCAGCAAGGUCGCCGAGAGCUGCAAGCCAGGUGAGAGCCCGUCGUCACGUUCACUUUUUUUGUUAAGACGUAGAGUUUUGGGUUCAAG